AUACGUAGGGGGCGAGCGUUGUCCGGAAUGAUUGGGCGUAAAGGGCGCGUAGGCGGCUUUGCAAGUCAGUAGUGAAAGUCCAUUUUUCAAGGAUGGAAGUGCUACAGAAACUGCGGAGCUUGAGUGCAGGAGAGGUUAUCGGAAUUCCCGGUGUAGCGGUGAAAUGCGCAGAGAUCGGGAGGAACACCAGUGGCGAAGGCGGGUAACUGGACUGCAACUGACGCUGAGGCGCGAAAGUGUGGGGAGCAAACAGGAUUAGAUACCCUGGUAGUCCAUGCCGUAAACGGUGGGCGCUAGGUGUAGGGGUCUUCCACGACUUCUGUGCCGUAGCUAACGCAUUAAGCGCCCCGCCUGGGGAGUACGGCCGCAAGGCUAAAACUCAAAGGAAUUGACGGGG
rnacentral:rRNA from 1 species